rnacentral:rRNA from 1 species
UGAACGCUGGCGGCAGGCCUAACACAUGCACGUCGCCCGGUAACAGGAAGCAGCUUGCUGCUUCGCUGACGAGUGGCGGACGGGUGAGUAAUGUCUGGGAAGCUGCCUGAUGGAGGGGGAUAACUACUGGAAACGGUAGCUAAUACCGCAUAAUGUCGCAAGACCAAAGAGGGGGACCUUCGGGCCUCUUGCCCUCGGAUGUGCCCAGAUGGGAUUAGCUUGUUGGUGGGGUAACGGCUCACCAAGGCGACGAUCCCUAGCUGGUCUGAGAGGAUGACCAGCCACACUGGGACUGAGACACGGUCCAGACUCCUACGGGAGGCAGCAGUGGGGAAUAUUGCACAAUGGGCGCAAGCCUGAUGCAGCCAUGCCGCGUGUAUGAAGAAGGCCUUCGGGUUGUAAAGUACUUUCAGCGGGGAGGAAGGGAGUAAAGUUAAUACCUUUGCUCAUUGACGUUACCCGCAGAAGAAGCACCGGCUAACUCCGUG